AAAGCAUUCCGACCUGACCAUGUUAAUAUUGCGACAAUGUACAACAAUCUAGGUUUGGUUUAAAGAGAUAUUGGAGAGUACGAAAAAGAAAAAGAUUUUUGUGAGCAAGCGAUGAAAUUUUCAACCAUUGUACUUGGUGCUGAUGAGGAAAUUUUUCUUGGAUUUGUGGUGGAUAUGGGGUACGGUGGAAACCUCGUCCUUCUUUAUUUGUGAAUGUAGCAGCAGAAAGACAAAAUGAUGAAGAUGCAUUAAGAAAAGAAAUUGAUGAAACUUUUGGAUGGAAAGCUUCUCAUUACUUUGAAUUUGUACCGGAACGACAAGAGAAAUCGGAAUUUCGUGUGUUUCUAGACAUAGAAAACAUAAAAAGGAAGAAAGAUCCAAAUUCCACAAGAGGAAAUAUUGAAGAUGAAUGUGAAACAAAGGCAAAAGAGCCUGACUGGAAAACAAUUUGGGAAAUAAUUGAAGAUAAGCAAAAGAUUUGGAGAAGGAAGUGUUGAAACAUUUCGGACGUCAGCUUAGACACAGAUGCUCUAAAGAACGUUGUCACCACUAAAUGCGAGC